ACAGAGACUGCAUGGUUUUUAUAUUAAAGAUUCAUCGGUAAGGGAUGGGCAUGCGUAGGAUUAGUUAGUUGGCGGGGUAACGGCCCACCAAGACUGUGAUCCUUAGGGGUUCUGAGAGGAAGGUCCCCCACACUGGCACUGAGAUACGGGCCAGACUCCUACGGGAGGCAGCAGUAGGGAAUAUUGGGCAAUGGGCGGGAGCCUGACCCAGCCAUGCCGCGUGCAGGAAGAAGGCGUUAUGCGUUGUAAACUGCUUUUAUACGGGAAGAAAAGGCCCAUGCGUGGGACAUUGCCGGUACCGUAUGAAUAAGCACCGGCUAACUCCGUGCCAGCAGCCGCGGUAAUACGGAGGGUGCAAGCGUUGUCCGGAUUUAUUGGGUUUAAAGGGUGCGUAGGCGGCCCGUUAAGUCAGCGGUGAAAGUCUGUGGCUCAACCAUAGAAGCGCCGUUGAUACUGAUGGGCUUGAGUGCCGUAUGGGUACAUGGAAUUGAUGGUGUAGCGGUGAAAUGCAUAGAUACCAUCAGGAACACCGAUAGCGUAGGCAUUGUACUGUGCGGCAACUGACG
rnacentral:rRNA from 1 species